rnacentral:lncRNA from 1 species
CAGCCUCGAGGCGUCCCCCUCUCUGGUGGGUCCCCAGCCCUCCUUCGCUCUGCUGCAGCUGCUGGCCUCUCCUCUCUUCCUCCACCACAUUUAACUCUGCUCCGCAUAAGGCCCUUUGCACCUGGAAUCCUCUCCCUGCAGAUCCGCACGUGGCUGCUCAGGGCUCCGCCCAAAGCUGAGCUGCUCAGAGAGCGUCCUUGAGCCCCAAGCCAAGGUAGCCCCCAGGCACCCUCUGCUGUGCCUUCUUCCUGCAUCGUAGUCUGGCACCGUCUCCUCCUGCUAGAAGGCAAGCUCCAGGGCAGCCUGGACAAGUUCGCCGUGUUCCCUGCAGGGUCCCACCUUCUAGAACUUGAACUCCCUCCCUGCAGGACGCCGUGGGAGCUGCGUCUUGGUCACAUUGCUAAACCCUUUCAACAAACCCCUUUGUCGGGCAGGAGUUCCACCAGCCCCUUAGUUUUGGUUUCUGAAACUUAACUAAGAUUCCGCAUUAGAGCACGGAUCCAGCCUCGGAGGAUGGAGAACCCUCUGGCUGAUCGGCUCCUCUCGUUUGAUGCGAAGUCCUUUGACUUCCUCCACCUGCUGCCCCCGCCUCACUCCAUCUGCCUCCACGGCCAGGCUGGCCUGGUGACACAGCGUCAUGGACACACUCUGGGUCAAGAUUUCUCCUGUGUGACCUGCACUGUCAGCCGAGCUGGAGAGUCAUUUUCCUGGAAGGAGAAUGAAUUGGAACACCAGCUUUGCCUUGGCUGUCGGGGUGGCGCUGGGGUGGGGGUGGGAGUCUGAAGAGGUCAUCUCUUGGUUUCCUCGUCUCUUGAUCUUGCCCUUGACCUCUGCCCCUGGAUGAUUUGAGAAGGAAGAAUAAUAGCUCAUAUUUUUGACCAUUUUCUAUGAGCCAGACACUAUUCUGAGCCUUUUAGAUUCUUAGAAUAUUGAAUUCACAUAACCUGGUGAAUUCACAUAACCUUGUGAAAGAGAACAAUGAUUGUUCUCACUUGUAACAGGUGAGAAAACUGGGAUCCAGGGAAGUUAAGUAACUUGCCCAACGUCACACAGCUGGUAAAAAUGAGAACAGGAGUUUGCUGCAGGCUGCCCCAUUCCCGGCUUCACCACCCCACAUCUCUUAAGCAAGAUAACCUGCAUGAACAAGCCCUGUUGAAUGUGAUACCCCCACAGGAGGAUUU